rnacentral:rRNA from 1 species
UGGGGAAUAUUGCACAAUGGGCGCAAGCCUGAUGCAGCCAUGCCGCGUGUGUGAAGAAGGCCUUCGGGUUGUAAAGCACUUUCAGCGAGGAGGAAGGUGGUGAACUUAAUACGUUCAUCAAUUGACGUUACUCGCAGAAGAAGCACCGGCUAACUCCGUGCCAGCAGCCGCGGUAAUACGGAGGGUGCAAAGCGUUAAUCGGAAUUACUGGGCGUAAAGCGCACGCAGGCGGUUUGUUAAGUCAGAUGUGAAAUCCCCGGGCUCAACCUGGGAACUGCAUUUGAAACUGGCAAGCUAGAGUCUCGUAGAGGGGGGUAGAAUUCCAGGUGUAGCGGUGAAAUGCGUAGAGAUCUGGAGGAAUACCGGUGGCGAAGGCGGCCCCCUGGACGAAGACUGACGCUCAGGUGCGAAAGCGUGGGGACAAACAGGAUUAGAUACCCUGGUAGUCCACGCUGUAAACGAUGUCGAUUUUGGAGGUUGUGCCCUUGAGGCGUGGNUUCCGGAGCUAACGCGUUAAAUCGACCGCCUGGGGAG